rnacentral:lncRNA from 1 species
UUAAAUUACCUUCCGUUCAAGACAUAUUCCUUUCCAUAAUUAUCAACAUGUAAUAAAGGCAACAUAAUUAAAAAUUUCAAGCGGAAGUCUUAACUUAUAUAAAAGCUGAAUAGAAAUGCGGAAAGUUUAACAUAAUUCUCUACCCCAGAUUGGUGUCACAAUGCUCACGAACUUCUAAGAUUUACUAAAUACGAUCGUCUGAAAGAAAAUUAUAAACUGUUUGUUUCGGUACAAAAGAUAACAAACUGAAUAAAGAGAGAGAGACUUCGGGCCUGCGGACGUCAGCAAGACUACCUCGGAGUCUCUGGACUGAAGUCAGCUCCCGAUCAAAUCCUACUGCUGAGGUCCAAAAGCUGCUCCUGGAUCUGUGCAAAAAGAUGCACAGAGUGUAGCAUCAGCACAACCGACCCCAUGUGCUGGUAAGUACCUGGCCUAACCCCGGCGAAGUAGUGACGAGGCUAGACAGGACCUACCAAAAACAACUUGUGCAGAUAUAUGCAAUAAAAAGAAAUAUACAGAAUUUAAACAGCUAAGAGGGGGGAAAGCAUGCUAUGGGGAGCUAACAGUUUCAAAUAGAAAUCCUCAAUAACAGAAAGAAAUAACAAAGCCAGAAUGUCAACAAGUAUUAAAAGUCACAAUAUAUACUGCAUCACCCUUCGUGCUUUUACUCUCGUCCUCACCAAAACAAUAUAUGGCAUCACCCUUCGUGCUCUACGCUCUUCCUCACCCAAACAAAAAUCACAAGGCAAAUAGGGUAAGGGAAUCUAUAACCUCGAAGUAAAUCAAAUAACAACAAGUAAUGAAAGAAACAACAUAACUCGGAUAUCAACAAAGAAUCAGAAAGCAACAAAUGCACGACAUCACCUUUCGUGCUUUUACUCUCGUCCUCACCAAAGCAAUCAUAUAAAUGAAAUGUGCAUGGCAUCACCCUUCGUGCUUUUACUCUCUUUCCUCACCAUAUAAUCAAUAAAAUUGGCACAGAAUGGUACAUCGUGCGGCACGACAUCACCCUUCGUGUUUUACACUCUUUCCUCACAAUAGCAAACAAUGCACGGUAUCACCCUUCGUGCUUUAUCACUCUUCCUCACCCAAGCAACAAUCACAAAUAAGGGGCAGGGGAUUAGACAAAUAAUAAUAGAAACCCCGGUAAGGGAAUACAAAUAAAUAGCUAACUCCCGGAAAGGGAGCACAAUUAAGCAGUUAAAACCCGGCAAGGGAACAAUAUCAAUAAUCUCAGCAUCCCGGCAAGGGAGAUAGUCAACAAAGCAACAAGCAUCCCAGCAAGGGAGCAAUUCAAUAAUUCUUUCUCUUUCUUUCACUUUUUACCUCUUAUCUCACUUUACCACCUNNNNNNNNNNNNNNNNNNNNNNNNNCUUCCUCAAACUCUUCACACUAUAUGAAAUUUAUCAAUUUAACAAGGAAGAGGUAUCACAAAAUUCGAAUAAACACAAAUAAGACUCACGGUCAUGCUAGACUCUGGUGUAUCGAUACUCGUCACCAUGCUUAUACGUCGUAUUCAACAAUUAUCACAUAUCAAAUAGGACUCGACUCAUAAUUCCUCAAGCUAAGGUUAGACCAAACACUUACCUCGCUAACAGAGAGUUUCUCCAACCUUGCAUCGUCUAGAACACCAAUCAAACGACCUCAAUCUAUGCAAAUAUUAAUUAACAAUGUCAAAUAUGUUAGUUGGAAUUACCUCAUACUUCUCGUACAAAAUUCAAUAAUUGGCUUACUAUCUAUUCAGCUAAUCCUUUAAUCACUCAUAUAUGUAAAACUCAUUAACUUAAAAAGGUUCCUAAGUAUACUGGACCUUACGUUUUGUUAAUAAACCCCUAGCUAUACGUGACUUAAAAAAACAUUCAAGUCUAUUUACAUGAAUAUGUAAUGUAACUAAUCUAUCAAUAAGGGAAUCUACAUGAAUAUGUAAUGUAACAUUCAAGUCUAUUUACAUAAAAUAUUACCAAGAUCACUGUGUUCCAACUCUUGUCAACGUUGUAAAUGAAUUCAGAGAAUUAACUUAUUCUUUUAUUAUAAUUACUUUGUUAUCAGAAAAGAUCUCCAAUAAAAUAAAUAAAAAUUUAUACCUGAUUUGCUAUUGAAAGGUACGAUACUAUACAUUGUCUGUUAAAGGCACAACGUGAUAGAUGAAACAUCAACAAAGAAAGAAAAACAAGAAAUAAAAAUAAAUUUAAAAAAAAAAUUGCUGACUCUUUACAUGCAUAACUGAAGCAUCUUCACUUAAUUAUUUCUCCUUAGUUUAAUCCAAAAUACAGUUAUGGGAUGAAUUUAACAAUAUACCUGGUCAACUCCACCAAAGACCCUCUACAGCCUUUUCUUCCUACUCGCAUGCGUCGGCGACUACUUGAAGCCCUUUUCUCUCUUCUUUAGGUAUUUGCGUAUCUAUUAGAACUAAAAGAACAAUUUUACUUAUUUACUCUACUUCAAACCUAGCAGCAACGUAAAAUGGGCUUGGCCCAAAUCUUUCGUGCCUAUUAUUCCAAAGCUAUUAUAUUGCUCCCUAGCCUAGGUAAUUAUAAAUUAUGCCUACUAACUAUUU